rfam:Gorilla gorilla gorilla genomic chromosome, chr14, whole genome shotgun sequence
GCCAGGUGUGGUGGCAUGCACCUGUAGUCCUAGCUACCUGGGAGGCUGAGGCAGGAGGAUCACUUGAGCCCAGGAGGUUAAGGUUGCAGUGAACCAUGAUUGCGCCACUGCACUCCAGCCUGGGCAACAGAGUGAGACUUUGUCUCAA